rnacentral:rRNA from 1 species
GUUGAAGACGACGACGUUGAUAGGCCGGGUGUGUAAGCGCAGCGAUGCGUUGAGCUAACCGGUACUAAUGAACCGUGAGGCUUAACCUUACAACGCCGAAGCUGUU